GAUGAAGAACGUAGCAAAAUGCGAUAAGUAAUGUGAAUUGCAGAAUUCAGUGAAUCAUCGAAUCUUUGAACGCACAUUGCGCCCGCCAGUAUUCUGGCGGGCAUGCCUGUUCGAGCGUCAUUUCAACCCUCAAGCACAGCUUGGUGUUGGGACUCGCGUUAAUUCGCGUUCCUCAAAUUGAUUGGCGGUCACGUCGAGCUUCCAUAGCGUAGUAGUAAAACCCUCGUUACUGGAAUCGUCGCGGCCACGCCGUUAAACCCCAACUUCUGAAUGUUGACCUCGGAUCAGGUAGGAAUACCCGCUGAACUUAAGCAUAUCAAUAAGCGGAGGA
rnacentral:misc_RNA from 1 species